UACGUAGGGCGCAAGCGUUAUCCGGAAUUAUUGGGCGUAAAGAGCUCGUAGGCGGUUUGUCGCGUCUGCCGUGAAAGUCCGGGGCUCAACUCCGGAUCUGCGGUGGGUACGGGCAGACUAGAGGUGAUGUAGGGGAGACUGGAAUUCCUGGAUGUAGCGGUGAAAUGCGCAGAUAUCAGGAGGAACACCGAUGGCGAAGGCGAGUCUCUGGGCCGAUACUGACGCUGAGGAGCGAAAGCGUGGGGAGCGAACAGG
rnacentral:rRNA from 1 species